rnacentral:rRNA from 1 species
GGGUUAAUAUUCCCGUACUUGGUGUUACUGCGAAGGGGGGACGGAGAAGGCUAUGUUGGCCGGGCGACGGUUGUCCCGGUUUAAGCGUGUAGGCUGGUUUUCCAGGCAAAUCCGGAAAAUCAAGGCUGAGGCGUGAUGACGAGGCACUACGGUGCUGAAGCAACAAAUGCCCUGCUUCCAGGAAAAGCCUCUAAGCAUCAGGUAACAUCAAAUCGUACCCCAAACCGACACAGGUGGUCAGGUAGAGAAUACCAAGGCGCUUGAGAGAACUCGGGUGAAGGAACUAGGCAAAAUGGUGCCGUAACUUCGGGAGAAGGCACGCUGACACGUAGGUGAAGUGAUUUACUCAUGGAGCUGAAGUCAGUCGAAGAUACCAGCUGGCUGCAACUGUUUAUUAAAAACACAGCACUGUGCAAACACGAAAGUGGACGUAUACGGUGUGACGCCUGCCCGGUGCCGGAAGGUUAAUUGAUGGGGUCAGCGCAAGCGAAGCUCCUGAUCGAAGCCCCGGUAAACGGCGGCCGUAACUAUAACGGUCCUAAGGUAGCGAAAUUCCUUGUCGGGUAAGUUCCGACCUGCACGAAUGGCGUAAUGAUGGCCAGGCUGUCUCCACCCGAGACUCAGUGAAAUUGAACUCGCUGUGAAGAUGCAGUGUACCCGCGGCAAGACGGAAAGACCCCGUGAACCUUUACUAUAGCUUGACACUGAACAUUGAGCCUUGAUGUGUAGGAUAGGUGGGAGGCUUUGAAGUGUGGACGCCAGUCUGCAUGGAGCCGACCUUGAAAUACCACCCUUUAAUGUUUGAUGUUCUAACGUGGACCCGUUACCCGGGUUGCGGACAGUGUCUGGUGGGUAGUUUGACUGGGGCGGUCUCCUCCUAAAGAGUAACGGAGGAGCACGAAGGUUGGCUAAUCCUGGUCGGACAUCAGGAGGUUAGUGCAAUGGCAUAAGCCAGCUUGACUGCGAGCGUGACGGCGCGAGCAGGUGCGAAAGCAGGUCAUAGUGAUCCGGUGGUUCUGAAUGGAAGGGCCAUCGCUCAACGGAUAAAAGGUACUCCGGGGAUAACAGGCUGAUACCGCCCAAGAGUUCAUAUCGACGGCGGUGUUUGGCACCUCGAUGUCGGCUCAUCACAUCCUGGGGCUGAAGUAGGUCCCAAGGGUAUGGCUGUUCGCCAUUUAAAGUGGUACGCGAGCUGGGUUUAGAACGUCGUGAGACAGUUCGGUCCCUAUCUGCCGUGGGCGCUGGAGAACUGAGGGGGGCUGCUCCUAGUACGAGAGGACCGGAGUGGACGCAUCACUGGUGUUCGGGUUGUCAUGCCAAUGGCACUGCCCGGUAGCUAAAUGCGGAAGAGAUAAGUGCUGAAAGCAUCUAAGCACGAAACUUGCCCCGAG